rnacentral:rRNA from 1 species
UGGGGAAUAUUGGACAAUGGGGGGAACCCUGAUCCAGCCAUGCCGCGUGUGUGAAGAAGGCCUUAUGGUUGUAAAGCACUUUAAGCGAGGAGGAGGGUACUGGUAUUAAUACUACCAGGUACUGGACGUUACUCGCAGAAUAAGCACCGGCUAACUCUGUGCCAGCAGCCGCGGUAAUACAGAGGGUGCGAGCGUUAAUCGGAUUUACUGGGCGUAAAGCGUGCGUAGGCGGCUAAUUGAGUCGGAUGUGAAAUCCCCGAGCUUAACUUGGGAAUUGCAUUCGAUACUGGUUAGCUAGAGUGUGGGAGAGGAUGGUAGAAUGCCAGGUGUAGCGGUGAAAUGCGUAGAGAUCUGGAGGAAUACCGAUGGCGAAGGCAGCCAUCUGGCCUAACACUGACGCUGAGGUACGAAAGCAUGGGGAGCAAACAGG